UGGCAAAGUAGAUAAUCUCCCUCCCCUGGUACUUAGAAACGGCCUAUCAGGGCUCAGUCAUUGCUUUAUAAAGGCUGUGAUUAGGCUACCUGGGAUGCGUCAUUGUUGGCCCCGCCCAUCCGGUACGUGUGCGCUCCCGCCUAACAAAGGUAUGUUUGUAGCUGGUCUGGCUAAUGCUGCAAUGAGCUCUUGGACCUCGGCUAACUAUAUUAAUUUAUUGUAGCUGGAGUCGCCUUUUUGCAGCUUGAAUAGCCCAUUAUUCCUGGCUUCGUUGUGGUUUUCAGGCUGUUCUUGCCACCUGGUUAGACUGAUUUCAUUCAAGUAAUCUUCUGAGACUUGUGCUGUGAGCAACUGUAUGAGGUGUGUGUAACGCUGUAGUCAAUACCUGGCCCCUGAGUCGGGUGGCUAGCUGUCCUAGUAUCCUGGUGGUGGUGGUGUUUGGAGCACGGAGUGUGGAUUGUCGUUUGUAGUCACUCACCUCACUGUGUGUGUGUGUGUGUGUGUGUGUGUGUGUGCUUUUACGAAUAGCCACUUUUGCAGCUAGCCUACCCUGCUAGGGGUAAGCCUUCGUAAAACUGAUUAAUGUAUGCCUGGUCGAAUCAUAUCUUUGCCUAAACUUUUAAAAGGUGUAUUUUCUACUUUGUGAAUUUAAUAAAUAGUUUAUACGCUAGUGCCUCUGUCUCUGCCUCCUAUGGUAACGAACCUGUGUCUAAAUUCCAUCAAGUAUUUAGUUCCCCUCACUUUAGAGGGGUGGCGUAGUCGGUAGUUACAUCAUAAUUAAUUAACUUCAAGUUGCCACGCCACAUUCUGGCGUAGUCGGCAGGGUACCGUGUUUGGCGGAGACACUGGUAUUAGUGGUUGUAUUUUUUUUGUUUGUUCUUUUUCUUUUCUUUUUCUGUUGCAGUGAGAUUGGUAAAGAGUAGCAGCAAAACAGCAGCGCACGUCUGGUGGAUUCUGAUUCUUUGUGAGUCUACUCCCUCUUGUUGGUAAGUGUUACGGCCGUCAAAAUUAUGGAAGAAGAGUUACAGGAAUUGAGGGAAGUAGUAGCUCAGUUGCGGGCAGAAAAUGAGAGGUUGCGUCAAGACCACUUUCUUGCGCUUCCUGGCCCUAGUGAUGCACCUUCUAUUGUUCCUGGUCCUUCUGUUGCUGCCCCCCCCUCAGCCAAGUAAUGCACAGGCAGUCCUGCCAGAACGAUUUGUUUUUGUACCUCGAGACAGGAAAUGUCAAAAAUUCAAUGGCAGGGUUGGUCUGAGCAUUGAUGAGUGGGUUGAAGAGGCCAAAGCUUGUAUGCAGGCUCGUCCCCUGUCUGUUUCUGAUCAAGCUUUCUUCUUGUUUGACCACUUGGAGGGGGAGGCCGGGGAAGAGAUUAGGUACCGUUCGGAGAUUGAGCGAAAUGAUCCAGAUAAAAUUAUUUUGGUGUUGCGGGAAUUAUAUGGUUGCUCACAGUCAUAUGUCUCAUUACAGGAGGCAUUUUUUUCUAGAAAGCAGCAGGAGGGUGAAUCAUUGUUGGAGUUUUCCCUAGCUUUGAUGGGUCUCCUAGAACGUGUGACGCAGCGAUCGCCGUAUGUUAUGCCAAAUUCACAAGUUUUGCUACACGAUCAGUUCAUUGAACAUGUUUGUGACGUGGCCCUUCGCCGAGAAUUAAAACCGCUAAUACGUCGUCAGCCAAUGUUAACAUUGUUGGAAGUUCGAAGCGAAGCUCUUAGAUGGGAAAGGGAGGGGAUGUUGGGGAGUACGAGAGGACUUGUAACAAGUGUCUCGUGUUUUCUCGUUGAGUAGCCGUCAAGGCCAGGGGACUUGUAACAAGUGUCUCGUGGUUCUCGUUGAGUAGCCGUCAUGGCAGAGCACUUGUAACAAGUGUCUCGUGUUUCUCGUUGAGUAGCCGUCAAGGCCAGAGGACUUGUAACAAGUGUCUCGUGUUUCUCGUUGAGUAGCCGUCAAGGCCAGAGGACUUGUAACAAGUGUCUCGUGUUUCUCGUUGAGUAGCCGUCAAGGCCAGAGGACUUGUGCUAAGUAUCUCGUGUUUCUCAUUGAGUAGUAUGGUCAGUGGUUCGAGUUGUGUUAUCGUCGGGGCGACGAUAAAAUGGUUGGGGCAGAUUGUGGCAAAGUAGAUAAUCUCCCUCCCCUGGUACUUAGAAACGGCCUAUCAGGGCUCAGUCAUUGCUUUAUAAAGGCUGUGAUUAGGCUACCUGGGAUGCGUCAUUGUUGGCCCCGCCCAUCCGGUACGUGUGCGCUCCCGCCUAACAAAGCUGGAGUCGCCUUUUUGCAGCUUGAAUAGCCCAUUAUUCCUGGCUUCGUUGUGGUUUUCAGGCUGUUCUUGCCACCUGGUUAGACUGAUUUCAUUCAAGUAAUCUUCUGAGACUUGUGCUGUGAGCAACUGUAUGAGGUGUGUGUAACGCUGUAGUCAAUACCUGGUAUGUAUAGAUACACAUGUAUAUGCAUUUCUUUUUAAUGGACACUUGAUUGUGUUUUAAAUUUAACUAAUGGGUUGUUUUUAGUAGGACAAAGUUUUGGGAACGUCCGCCUGUUUUCGGGUGGGGAAGAUCGCCUCCUGCAUAAUAGCAGAUUAAAGACGGCGUUGCUGUUUUGCUGUGUUGCUGUUUUGCUGUUUUGCUGUUUUGCUGUUUAAUUAAGUUUUGUUGUGCUCGUAUCAUUGUAUGGUUUUUGGUUAUUGUUUGUUUUCGUUACAAUUGAUUUUUGUUUGAUUUUGAUUUUGUAGUGAUUGUUAAAACUUUUGCUUUAAAUAUAUAUUUCUUUCCUUUUCAUUUCAGUUUUCUUUAAGUGACCAUUGUUCAUUUUUUUUUUACAUUUUGUUGUGUGUUUUGGUAAUUGUUUCAGUCAAUCAGGCUUUAGAUUAAUUUCGUUUUGUACAUUUGAGUAAUUUGUGUUUU